AGUGAACGCUGGCGGUAGGCCUAACACAUGCAAGUCGAACGGCAGCACAGUAAGAGCUUGCUCUUAUGGGUGGCGAGUGGCGGACGGGUGAGGAAUACAUCGGAAUCUACUUUUUCGUGGGGGAUAACGUAGGGAAACUUACGCUAAUACCGCAUACGACCUACGGGUGAAAGCAGGGGACCUUCGGGCCUUGCGCGAUUGAAUGAGCCGAUGUCGGAUUAGCUAGUUGGCGGGGUAAAGGCCCACCAAGGCGACGAUCCGUAGCUGGUCUGAGAGGAUGAUCAGCCACACUGGAACUGAGACACGGUCCAGACUCCUACGGGAGGCAGCAGUGGGGAAUAUUGGACAAUGGGCGCAAGCCUGAUCCAGCCAUACCGCGUGGGUGAAGAAGGCCCUCGGGUUGUAAAGCCCUUUUGUUGGGAAAGAAAUCCAGCCGGCUAAUACCUGGUUGGGAUGACGGUACCCAAAGAAUAAGCACCGGCUAACUUCGUGCCAGCAGCCGCGGUAAUACGAAGGGUGCAAGCGUUACUCGGAAUUACUGGGCGUAAAGCGUGCGUAGGUGGUUGUUUAAGUCUGUUGUGAAAGCCCUGGGCUCAACCUGGGAACUGCAGUGGAAACUGGACAACUAGAGUGUGGUAGAGGGUAGCGGAAUUCCCGGUGUAGCAGUGAAAUGCGUAGAGAUCGGGAGGAACAUCCAUGGCGAAGGCAGCUACCUGGACCAACACUGACACUGAGGCACGAAAGCGUGGGGAGCAAACAGGAUUAGAUACACAGGUAGUCCACGCCCUAAACGAUGCGAACUGGAUGUUGGGUGCAAUUUGGCACGCAGUAUCGAAGCUAACGCGUUAAGUUCGCCGCCUGGGGAGUACGGUCGCAAGACUGAAACUCAAAGGAAUUGAGGGGGGCCCGCACAAGCGGUGGAGUAUGUGGUUUAAUUCGAUGCAACGCGAAGAACCUUACCUGGCCUUGACAUGUCGAGAACUUUCCAGAGAUGGAUUGGUGCCU
rnacentral:rRNA from 1 species